AGAAAGAAUACGUAAUGGUGCUAAGAAACUGCUCAAGUCCAGGCAAGGAACAACACAAGGCAGGAUGGACUCAUUCUUCUCUAUAGUUUCCACAUCUAAAGCUACAACAAAAAGAAAGGCUGAAGAAACUAAAGGACCUCAGAAGAAAAAAGGAAAAGGGACAUUUAAGAAAACCAAAUAGAUUUCAGAUGCUGCUGCUCUAUAAUGAAUUGUACAACACAUUGAACUCAAACUGAUUGGAACAGAACACAAGUUUCAAAGAGAAAAUAAAAUAUAAAAUUUUUAUGGU
rnacentral:sRNA from 1 species